UACGAGGGGGGGCGAGCGUUGUUCGGAAUUAUUGGGCGUAAAGGGUGCGUAGGCGGUUUGGUAAGUCUUGUGUGAAAUCUCCAGGCUCAACUUGGAGUCUGCACGAGAAACUGCCGGGCUUGAGUGUGGGAGAGGUGAGUGGAAUUCCUGGUGUAGCGGUGAAAUGCGUAGAGAUAUGGAGGAACACCAGUGGCGAAGGCGACUCUUUGGUCUGUAACUGACGCUGAGGCGCGAAAGCGUGGGGAGCAAACAGG
rnacentral:rRNA from 1 species